rnacentral:rRNA from 1 species
AGUGAACGCUGGCGGUAGGCCUAACACAUGCAAGUCGAACGGCAGCACAGUAAUAGCUUGCUGUUACGGGUGUCGAGUGGCGGACGGGUGAGUAAUGCAUCGGAAUCUACUGGUUCGUGUGGGAUAACGUAGGGAAACUUACGCGAAUACCGCAUACGACCUACGGGUGAAAGCAGGGGAUCUUCUGACCUUGCGCGAUUGGAUGUGCCGAUGUCGGAUUAGCUAGUUUGCGCGGUAAAGGCCCACCAAGGCGACGAUCCGAAGCUGGCCUCAGAGGAAGGACAGCCAGAUUGGAAGAGAGACAGGGCACAGACUCCGAGGGGAGGACGCAGUGCGGACUCUUGCACAAUGGAGGAGAGGCGGAUCCAGCCCAACCGGGUGGGUCAAGAAGGAGUUAGGGUUGUAAAGCCAUGUUGUUGGGAAAGAAAAGCAGCACGUUAACCCCCCGCUGUAAUGACGGUACCCAAAGAAUAAGCACCGGCUAACUUCGUG